rnacentral:rRNA from 1 species
CCGGCACGGGUGAGUAACGCGUAUCCAACCUGCCGUCUACUCUUGGACAGCCUUCUGAAAGGAAGAUUAAUACAAGAUGGCAUCAUGAGUCCGCAUGUUCACAUGAUUAAAGGUAUUCCGGUAGACGAUGGGGAUGCGUUCCAUUAGAUAGUAGGCGGGGUAACGGCCCACCUAGUCUUCGAUGGAUAGGGGUUCUGAGAGGAAGGUCCCCCACAUUGGUACUGAGACACGGACCAA